rnacentral:lncRNA from 1 species
CCCAAGGAAAGUCAAGACUGAGAACAAGGAUAAUGUUCAUUUGAAGGUUCAUCUUAAACUGUGGUGCAGUUUAAGAUGAACAGCCACGCACCACACCGCUUAGUAAACCAAUGAAAGCCUAUUGUAAGGGGCACGGUUUGCCAAUGAGGCAGAUCAGGUUUCAAUUUGACAGGCAGCCAAUCAAUGAACCAGACACAUCUGCACAUUUGGAAGUGAGGCUUAAGACAAAACUGAUGUGUUCCAGCAGCAGACAUGGAGAUGUCU